rnacentral:rRNA from 1 species
UUUAACAAAGAGAAGCGAAACUGCGAAGUGGAGCAAAACUCUAAAAAACAAUCUCAGUUCAGAUUGCAGGCUGCAACUCGCCUGCAUGAAGUCGGAAUUGCUAGUAAUCGUAGGUCAGCAUACUACGGUGAAUACGUUCCCGGGCCUUGUACACACCGCCCGUCAAACCAUGAGAGUUGGCAACACCCGAAGUCGGUAGUCUAACCGCAAGGAGGACGCCGCCGAAGGUGGGGUUGAUGAUUAGGGUUAAGUCGUAACAAGGUAUC